UGAAAACUUUCCAUCGUUUAGUAGAUAAAGAAAAUAAAGUAUAUAUACGUUGCACCACCCCAAAGAAAGAUUUAGCUUUUGAACAACAAGUGGUCAUAUCACAAAGUACAAGAUUAAGACUAUAACAUCCACAAGGAAUGUAGAAUGCUCUAGGAUUUAGUUGUAAUAGUCUACUUUGAACUCCUUUAUGUUGUCCUUUCAUGUUAGCACUAUUAUCAUAGCCUUGACCCCUUACAUUAUCAAUAUCAAGUUCUAGAUUAUUCAAAGCAUCCACCAAUUCCUCAAAAAGCCCCUUACCUGAUGUAUCAUCCACUAAUAAAAACCCUAAAAAGAAUUCUUCAACCUUCACUGGACUUGUCGAAAUAUCUACACACCUCAAUAUCAUUGACAUUUGUUCUUUGUGACUUGUAUCUGGAGUGCAAUCAAGUAUAACAGAAAAGUAUUUAGAGAUUUUGAGUUUCUCAAUGAUUAUUUUUUUUAUCUCGCCCGCUAGCAUAAGUAUCAACUCAUUCUGAAUUUUGUGUCCUAGAUAAUGAUAAUGAAUCUCUUUACUUUUUAUUCGACGAAUAUGCUCUUGCAUUACGGGGUCAAACUCAGCAAUCAUUUGAAUCAUGCUUAAAAAGAUACCAUUAUUUCUUGAUAUAUCUUCUCAUUGUCCCUACGAAAUGCUAAAUUAUUCUCAGCAAGAGUUUUCACCACAGAUAUUAUUCUCAAUAAUACUUGUCUCCAAUGUUCUCUAUCUCUAUUGAUUUGUUCUUGCACACUUUUAUCAAUUGUUUUACUCUUUUCAAAUCCUAAUUCCAUUUAUUCAUGUUAUUGAUGUGGUCACAACAUGCUUCAUGCAUUUUAAGUUUUUCACCAACAUUUUUCCAAUCAUUUACUCCAUCAUGUGCCAAUUGGGUUCUGAUCCCAUCAUUCUUAAAUAGCUUACAACAAAAGCAAAAUACUUUAUCCAAACUUUUUGAAUAUAUCAACCAUUUUCUAUCAUACUUCUCUCCAUUAGGUAAUCGUCGAAC
rnacentral:lncRNA from 1 species